rnacentral:rRNA from 1 species
CCUACGGGUGGCAGCAGUGAGGAAUAUUGGUCAAUGGACGAGAGUCUGAACCAGCCAAGUAGCGUGAAGGAUGUCUGCCCUAUGGGUUGUAAACUUCUUUUAUAAAGGAAUAAAACGAGGCACGUGUGCCUUUUUGCAUGUACUUUAUGAAUAAGGAUCGGCUAACUCCGUGCCAGCAGCCGCGGUAAUACGGAGGAGCCGAGGGUUAUCCGGAUUUAUUGGGUUUAAAGGGAGCGUAGAUGGGUUGUUAAGUCAGUUGUGAAAGUUUGCGGCUCAACCGUAAAAUUGCAAUUGAUACUGGCAGUCUUGAGUACAGGUGAGGUAAGCGGAAUUCGUGGUGUAGCGGUGAAAUGCUUAGAUAUCACGAAGAACACCGAUUGCGAAGGCAGCUUACUAGACUGUGACUGACAUUGAUGAUCGAAAGUGUGGGUAGCAAACAGGAUUAGAUACCCUUGUAGUC